rnacentral:rRNA from 1 species
GAUGAACGCUAGCUACAGGCUUAACACAUGCAAGUCGAGGGGUAGCAGGGUAGCAAUACCGCUGACGACCGGCGCACGGGUGAGUAACACGUAUCCAACCUUCCCAUAACUCGGGGAUAGCCUUUCGAAAGAAAGAUUAAUACCCGAUAGUACUUAACAAAGGCAUCUUUGAUAAGUUAAAGAUUUAUUGGUUAUGGAUGGGGAUGCGUUCCAUUAGAUAGUUGGUGAGGUAACGGCUCACCAAGUCUUCGAUGGAUAGGGGUUCUGAGAGAAAGGUCCCCCACAUUGGUACUGAGACACGAACCAAACUCCUACAGUAGGCAGCAGUGAGGAAUAUUGGUCAAUGGGCGAGAGCCUGAACCAGCCAAGUAGCGUGAAGGAUGAAGGUCCUAUGGAUUGUAAACUUCUUUUAUAGUAGAAUAAAGUGAUCCACGUGUGGAUUUUUGUAUGUAUACUAUGAAUAAGGAUCGGCUAACUCCGUGCCAGCAGCCGCCGUAA